GUAGGUGGCAAGCGUUGUCCGGAAUUAUUGGGCGUAAAGCGCGCGCAGGCGGGUCCUUUAAGUCUGAUGUGAAAGCCCACGGGCUCAACCGUGGAGGGUCAUUGGAAACUGGGGGACUUGAGUACAGAAGAGGAAAGCGGAAUUCCAAGUGUAGCGGUGAAAUGCGUAGAGAUUUGGAGGAACACCAGUGGCGAAGGCGGCUUUCUGGUCUGUAACUGACGCUGAGGCGCGAAAGCGUGGGGAGCAAACAGGAUUAGAUACCCUGGUAGUCCACGCCGUAAACGAUGAGUGCUAAGUGUUAGGGGGUUUCCGCCCCUUAGUGCUGCAGCUAACGCAUUAAGCACUCCGCCAGGGGAGUACGGCCGCAAAGGCUG
rnacentral:rRNA from 1 species